CAUCUUAUUUGUUCUUUAGCAGCAACGGAUGGUUUCAAUUUUACUUUUAAUCUAUCUGACUACCGUGCUACAACUUAUGCAUAUAAAGUCUGCGAAGUCAUAACUGAAGCUGAGAUCACAUCAAUUCUAUUGAAAAUAUUCGUCACAGUCUUUGUGUUAAUAUUGUGUGUAUAUUUACUCUAUUUAUGCCCGCCUAAACGUUGAUCAAUUAUC